rnacentral:snRNA from 1 species
AUCGCUUCUCGGCCUUUGGCUCAGAUCAUUAGCAUCUGUUCUUAUCAGUUUAAUAUUCGAUACGCCCCCCAUCGGGGACUACAUAUUAAAUGGAUUUUUCAACAGGGAGCCGGAAAUGGGGCUUGCUCCGUCCGGCUCCACGCAGACGAUCGGUAUUGCAGUAUCUCCGGAAUGGUGCAAACACU